rnacentral:rRNA from 1 species
AUGAUGAUGGUGGUGGCGACUGCGAGCCCCGGCGGGCCGGAGGCGCUGCAGGUGCGCGAGGUCGAGGAUCUCUCGGCGCCGGGGGAGGGCAAGCUGCUUGUCAGGGUGGCCGCUGCCGGCGUCAAUCGCGACGACACGGUCCAGCGGCAGGGCCGGUACUCGCCGCCGUCUGGCGCCUCGCCCUACCCGGGGCUUGAGUGCUCCGGCACCAUCGUCGCACUCGGGGCCAACGCCCCCCGCGCUGGGCCGUCGACACCAGCAUUUGCAGGUGUACACGCUGCUUACCGGCGGCGGGUAUGCGGAGAAGGUUGUGGUUCCGGCGGGGCAGCUUCUACCGACGACAGAGGGGGGGUUGCUGACUGA